rnacentral:rRNA from 1 species
UACGGAAGGCAGCAGUGGGGAAUAUUGCACAAUGGGCGAAAGCCUGAUGCAGCUAUGCCGCGUGUAUGAAGAAGGCCUUAGGGUUGUAAAGUACUUUCAUCGGGGAGGAAAAAACAAAACUAAUAAUUUUAUUUCUUGACGUUACCCGAAAAAGAAGCACCGGCUAACUCCGUGCCAGCAGCCGCGGUAAUACGGAGGGUGCUAGCGUUAAUCAGAAUUACUGGGCGUAAAGAGCACGUAGGUGGUUUUUUUAAAGUCAGAUGUGAAAUCCCUGGGCUUAACCUAGGAACUGCAUUUUGAAACUGAAAUACUAGAGUAUCGUAGAGGGAGGUAGAAUUCUAGGUGUAGCGGUGAAAUGCGUAGAUAUCUGGAGGAAUACCUGUGGCGAAAGCGGCCUCCUAAACGAAUACUGACACUGAGUGCGAAAGCGUGGGGAGCAAACAGGGAUUAGA